rnacentral:rRNA from 1 species
UACGAAGGGGGCUAGCGUUGCUCGGAAUCACUGGGCGUAAAGGGCGCGUAGGCGGCCAUUCAAGUCAGAGGUGAAAGCCCAAGGCUCAACCUUGGAACUGCCUUUGAUACUGUUUGGCUUGAGACCGGUAGAGGUAAGUGGAACUGCGAGUGUAGAGGUGAAAUUCGUAGAUAUUCGCAAGAACACCAGUGGCGAAGGCGGCUUGACUGGACCGGUUCUGACGCUGAGGCGCGAAAGCGUGGGGAGCAAACAGGG